rnacentral:rRNA from 1 species
GAGUUUGAUCGUGGCUCAGGACGAACGCUGGCGGCGUGCUUAACACAUGCAAGUCGAACGGAAAGGCCCUGCUUUUGUGGGGUGCUCGAGUGGCGAACGGGUGAGUAACACGUGAGUAACCUGCCCUUGACUUUGGAUAACUUCAGGAAACUGGGGCUAAUACCGGAUAGGAGCUCCUGCUGCAUGGUGGGGGUUGAAAGUUUCGGCGGUUGGGGAUGGACUCGCGGCUUAUCAGCUUUGUUGGUGGGGUAGUGGCUUACCAAGGCUUUGACGGGUAGCCGGCCUGAGAGGGUGACCGGCCACAUUGGGACUGAGAUACGGCCCAGACUCCUACGGGAGGCAGCAGUGGGGAAUAUUGCACAAU